AAGAAGGAUGGUGCCAUUUCUACUAUACUUAUUCGUGGGUCUACAGACAAUCUGAUGGAUGACAGAGAGAGAGCAGUGGAUGAUGGUGUAAAUACUUUCAAAGUACUCACGAGGGAUAAACGUCUUGUUCCUGGAGGUGGUGCAACAGAGAUUGAAUUCGCCAAGCAGAUCACAUCUUAUGGAGAGACUUGUCCUGGGCUUGACCAAUAUGUCAUCAAGAAGUUUGAUGAGGCAUUUGAAGCCAUUCCUCGAGCACUGGCAGAAAACUCUGGAGUAAAGGCUAAUGAGGUAAUCUCCAAACUUUAUGCUGUGCACCAGGAAGGGAACAAAAAUGUUGGAUUUGAUAUUGAGGCUGAAGCUGCUGCUGUGGAGGAUAUGUUGGAAGCUGGUGUAUUAGACACAUACCUUGGAAAAUCCUGGGGUAUCAAGCUAGCUACAAAUGCAGCAGUAACUGUCCUAAGGGUAGAUCAGAUCAUUAUGGCAAAACCAGCUGGUGGCCCUAAAUUUCCAUCAGGAAAGAAAGAUUGGGAUGAAGACCAAAAUGAUUGAACAAUUUAACUGUACUUCUUAAGUGACAUGAUUAUGUGAGUUUUUUAAUAUUCCAGUUGGAGCCUGUCACAAUGUUUUGCUCUGUUGCCUUUAAGUUAUGGACUGUGUCCAGUGGAGUGCAGAACUUCAAACACUUCAAUAAA